UCCAGCGUCAUAUAGUCCUUUCUCUAGCAUUAGAUCUUGGAGGGGAGUGACGGAGUAGAGACAAUGAACGACAUCCCAUUGUUCAAUGAGAGAGGUCAAGAUAAUUGGAGUCAUUUUAGGGUCCUCAGUGGGAAUACUAAGUAUUUUCUUGCUCUUUCUAAUCAUGCAUUCAACGAUUUUGAGAUUUCCUCUAUAUUUGCAGCAUGAUCGCUAGAGCUGUCCAACCCUCAUCAUCUGUUAAUUCCAAGUCUUCCUCUGACAUCAACUGCACCAACUCUUCCACAAUAUGCUCGUGCUCUAGUUCUGUUUCCAAGUGAAGAGCUAUCUAGUUUUUAUAUGGAAUUCUUGCUCUUAUUGCAUCAGGAUGUAGGGUAAGAAACUCCUUUGCUUCAUUCCAAUACCCACGCCACACAGCAUCGAACAACGGCUUAUACAGACUCUCGUCAUAUCCUGCACCAAGUUUGUGUUAAUUAAUUAAUUAUUUCAUACUAGCCCCUUGGCAGAUGCUCACGGAUGUGCCAAUUGGUUUUUUUUUUAAUUUUAUAUUUUAUUUUUAUAAUUAAGAAAAGAUAACAUGGGUGGUUAUGUUCCAUAAAAAUAGGACCUAUUAUAUGAUUUUAUUUUUAUUUUUAUUUUUUUAAUAUGAAAAAAAAUCAAUAUGCCAUAUUAUCCUCAUUUAAUUAAUAAUUUCAAUUCUUAAUGUUUGAAUUAACCAAGGGCAUUUUCUGGUACUUUGAAUGUUUCACCAUUCUCUGCCUUUUGCUUUAUAUAUAUAGAUAACAUAAUCCAUUUAUUUUU
rnacentral:lncRNA from 1 species